UACGGAGGGUGCAAGCGUUAUCCGGAUUCACUGGGUUUAAAGGGUGCGUAGGUGGGUCUGUAAGUCAGUGGUGAAAUCUUCGAGCUUAACUCGGAAACUGCCAUUGAUACUAUAGGUCUUGAAUUUUCUGGAGGUAAGCGGAAUAUGUCAUGUAGCGGUGAAAUGCUUAGAUAUGACAUAGAACACCAAUUGCGAAGGCAGCUUACUACGGGAACAUUGACACUGAGGCACGAAAGCGUGGGGAUCAAACAGG
rnacentral:rRNA from 1 species